rnacentral:tRNA from 1 species
CCCACAGAAUAGCUGUCGGUAGAGCAUGAGACUCUUAAUCUCAAGUUCAUGGGUUUGAGUCCCACAUUGUAGGGG